AGAAAAUCAACCAUGGAUUAUACUUCCUCCACCCUCCCGUUAUCUUCUCCAAUUCGAUAUUUGCGAUUCAAAAAAUAUGGAGAAAUGUAAGCUUCGAAUCGUCAUCUCUAUUAUAUCGAGAUCUUAAUACUAACAAGGUGUGUCAUGGAUGAGAGAUUCAUUCAUUAGUUAGAAGACGGAAAACAUACAAUGUCAAUUUGUUUAGUGCAGAUUUGCUUACAUUACUUAGAUUUAUUCAACUUUGUAAAUAAUACUGUGUAUAAUGUAAUAGUAUAGAAACUCAGAUCUAUAAUUCUUGUACUCCUUAUUUGAUUAAUAAUAAUUAUAUUUUCAAUA